CUGGACGGGUCUUGGAAGAACAGCCAUCACAGAAGCCCUCUCCACAGGCCCGGCAGUGAUGCUUUGUGUCGUUAUCUUUGAAAGAUUCAGAUGGCUCUGUAACCCAUUACUCCUGAUAAACUGGAGGGCAAGCAGGAAUAAAAGACUCACCAGCCCAGCUUUGAAAGACAGAAUGUUCACAGGGUCUUGGUUGCCAAACCAGUACUGCCGGCUGCGAUACACCACCCCACAGUUGGGGCACUCGAUCACGUACCUGCACAGGAGGAGGACAGGUCACCUCUCUGGCAAGUCCCAUGCACUAGGCAGCACAGAGACCACAGAGAGCAGAGAGAUCCCUGCUGCAGUACUU